rnacentral:lncRNA from 1 species
GGCAUUAAGAUGACCAAAAAUACGAUUUUAAUUAGUCCAAGAGUAAUUAACCCGAAAAUGGCCUAUUCUCGUUGUUUCACCUGUUUGACCACCCAAAUAGCCUAUCCCACCUAAGGGCCCACACUAUCCAUAGUAUGCCUGGGGCAUCCCGGUCAAUUUUCAGCCAAAAACGUGCCCGGCCCCCAAGCCCACCCCGGAUACCAUGGACUAUAGCACACUGAUUUGGCCAG